rnacentral:rRNA from 1 species
UCGCUACUACCGAUUGAAUGGCUUAGUGAGCUCCACGGACUAGCCUGUUGUGUUGGGUUUCCUUCAUUUCAGAUUGGGAAGUGGAUCAAACUUGAUCAUUUAGAGGAAGUAA